rnacentral:rRNA from 1 species
GAGUUUGAUCCUGGCUCAGAUUGAACGCUGGCGGCAGGCCUAACACAUGCAAGUCGAGCGGUAACAGAGAGUAGCUUGCUACUCUGCUGACGAGCGGCGGACGGGUGAGUAAUGCUUGGGAAUGUACCUUAUGGUGGGGGACAACAGUUGGAAACGACUGCUAAUACCGCAUAAUGUCUUCGGACCAAAGCGGGGGACCUUCGGGCCUCGCGCCAUAAGAUCAGCCCAAGUGGGAUUAGCUAGUUGGUGAGGUAAUGGCUCACCAAGGCGACGAUCCCUAGCUGGUUUGAGAGGAUGAUCAGCCACACUGGGACUGAGACACGGCCCAGACUCCUACGGGAGGCAGCAGUGGGGAAUAUUGCACAAUGGGCGCAAGCCUGAUGCAGCCAUGCCGCGUGUGUGAAGAAGGCCUUCGGGUUGUAAAGCACUUUCAGUAAGGAGGAAAGGUUGGAUGUUAAUAGCAUUCAGCUGUGACGUUACUUACAGAAGAAGCACCGGCUAACUCCGUGCCAGCAGCCGCGGUAAUACGGAGGGUGCGAGCGUUAAUCGGAAUUACUGGGCGUAAAGCGUACGCAGGCGGUUUGUUAAGCGAGAUGUGAAAGCCCCGGGCUCAACCUGGGAACUGCAUUUCGAACUGGCAAACUAGAGUGUGAUAGAGGGUGGUAGAAUUUCAGGUGUAGCGGUGAAAUGCGUAGAGAUCUGAAGGAAUACCGAUGGCGAAGGCAGCCACCUGSGUCAACACUGACGCUGAGGUACGAAAGCGUGSGGAGCGAACAGGAUUAGAUACCCUGGUAGUCCACGCCGUAAACGAUGAGUAUUUGGUGCUGGGGGAUUCGACCCUUUCAGUGCCGUAGCUAACGCGAUAAAUACUCCGCCUGGGGACUACGAUCGCAAGAUUGAAACUCAAAGGAAUUGACGGGGACCCGCACAAGCGGUGGAACAUGUGGUUUAAUUCGAUGAUACGCGAAGAACCUUACCUGGGUUUGACAUGUCAGAGAAAGUUUUCCGAAAGGAAAUCCUUUUAAUAAUUUAUUAUUAAACUCUGUCACAGGUGAUGCAUGGCUGUCGUCAGCUCGUGUCGUGAGAUGUUAGGUUAAGUCCUGCAACGAGCGCAACCCCUAUAUUUAGUUGCCAGCACAUAAUGGUGGGGACUCUAAAUAGACUGCCCGGAAUAACCGGGAGGAAGGUGGGGAUGAUGUCAAGUCAGUAUGUCCCUUAUACCCAGGGCUACACACGUGUUACAAUGGAUGGUACAAAAAGUAGCAAUUCCGCGAGGAGGAGCCAAUCUUUAAAACUAUCCCCAGUUCAGAUUGAAGUCUGAAAUUCGACCUCAUGAAGCAGGAAUCGCUAGUAAUCGUAGGUCAGCACACUACGGUGAAUACGUUCCCGGGUCUUGUACACACCGCCCGUCAAGUCAUGGAAGUCUGCAGUACCCAAAGAUAGUAUUCUAACCGCAAGGAGGAAGCUGUUUAAGGUAAGGCAGGUAACUAGGACUAAGUCGUAACAAGGUAGCCGUACCGGAAGGUGCGGCUGGAUCACCUCCUUUCU